CCGUUUUUCUAGCAAGGUGCAGAACAAGGUUACAAACAUAUGAUUACAACAUGAAGGAAAAAAUGUCUAAUUCCCCUCUCCCCAACUAUAGCAAAAAUCUGGAUGACCUAAAUUGUAGUGCCAUUCACGGAACCUCUAAUUCACAAAUAUCACUUCCCAGUGUUGCCUUUGUUGGCACCACGUCAGCGGUCAGCCCAUACCCAUCCACCAAGGCAUCAAGACAAAAACCGUAGUACCUUACAACGUGGUGGUGACCUCUAAUUUACCAACGGGGAAGUGGUUCCAGCGGCUCUGGCCGUGCUUGUCAGCGUCGAGAGGCUGCAAUUGCAUGC
rnacentral:lncRNA from 7 species